GUCUACAGCCAUACCACCCUGAACGCGCCCGAUCUCGUCUGAUCUCAGAAGCUAAGCAGGGUCGGGCCUGGGUAGUACUUGGAUGGGAGAGAGCAACCUGAGCUGAGUACC
rnacentral:rRNA from 1 species